CGACGGAUGUAAAGGAGCAGACCUCGAUGACGGACGAGGCACAAAAAGCGGAGACGUGGCGCGACGAAC
rnacentral:rRNA from 14 species